CCGCGUUGUAAUUUGUGAGGCAUCUCCCGGGUGGGGCGCCGGCCUAAGUUCCUUGGAACAGGACGUCAUAGAGGGUGAGAAUCCCGUGCUUGGCUGGCUGUCCCCGUCCAUGUGAGGUGUCUUCGACGAGUCGAGUUGUUUGGGAAUGCAGCUCAAAAUGGGUGGUAAAUUUCAUCUAAAGCUAAAUAUUGGUGGGAGACCGAUAGCGCACAAGUAGAGUGAUCGAAAGAUGAAAAGCACUUUGAAAAUAGAGUUAAAAAGUACGUGAAAUUGUUGAAAGGGAAGCGCUUGAGACCAGACUUCGGUGGGGAGUGAUCAGCCGUCCUUCUGGGCGGUGCACUUGCCCCCCUCCGGGCCAGCAUCGGUUGGGACGGCGGGAUAAAGGUCCCGGGAAUGUGGCUCCUCUCGGGGAGUGUUAUAGCCCGGGUGAAUGCCGCCAGCCCCGACCGAGGACCGCGCCUUCGGGCUAGGAUGCUUGGCAUAAUGGUCUUCAGCGACCCGUCUUGAAACACGGACCAAGGAGUCUAACAUCUAUGCGAGUGUUUGGGUGUCAAACCCUUGCGCGAAAUGAAAGUGAACGGAGGUGGGAACCCGCAAGGGCGCACCAUCGACCGGUCCCGAAGUCUUCUGAAGGAUCUGAGUAGGAGCAUAGCUGUUGGGACCCGAAAGAUGGUGAACUAUGCCUGAAUAGGGUGAAGCCAGAGGAAACUCUGGUGGAGGCUCGCAGCGGUUCUGACGUGCAAAUCGAUCGUCAAAUUUGGGUAUAGGGGCGAAAGACUAAU
rnacentral:rRNA from 1 species